ACUCCGGUUGAUCCUGCCGGACCCGACCGCUAUCGGGGUAGGGCUAAGCCAUGGGAGUCGAACGCCCCGCCGCUGCGGGGCGUGGCGAACGGCUGAGUAACACGUGGCUAACCUACCCUCGGGACGGGGAUAACCCCGGGAAACUGGGGCUAAUCCCCGAUAGGCGGGGAGGCCUGGAAGGGUUCCCCGCCGAGAAGGGCGCCGGGGGCUAUCGCCGGCGUCCCGCCCGAGGAUGGGGCUGCGGCCCAUCAUGGUAGUUGGCGGGGUAAAGGCCCGCCAAGCCAUCGACGGGUAGGGGCCGUGAGAGCGGGAGCCCCCAGAUGGGCACUGAGACAAGGGCCCAGGCCCUACGGGGCGCACCAGGCGCGAAAACUCCGCAAUGCGGGCAACCGUGACGGGGCUACCCCGAGUGCCCC
rnacentral:rRNA from 1 species